rnacentral:rRNA from 1 species
GACGAACGCUGGCGGCGUGCCUAAUACAUGCAAGUCGAGCGGACGGAUGGGAGCUUGCUCCCAGACCGUCAGCGGCGGCCGGGUGAGUAACACGUGGGCAACCUGCCUGUAAGACUGGGAUAACUCCGGGAAACCGGGGCUAAUACCGGAUAACUCUUUCCCUCACAUGAGGGAAAGCUGAAAGAUGGCAUCUCGCUAUCACUUACAGAUGGGCCCGCGGCGCAUUAGCUAGUUGGUGAGGUAACGGCUCACCAAGGCGACGAUGCGUAGCCGACCUGAGAGGGUGAUCGGCCACACUGGGACUGAGACACGGCCCAGACUCCUACGGGAGGCAGCAGUAGGGAAUCUUCCGCAAUGGACGAAAGUCUGACGGAGCAACGCCGCGUGAGUGAUGAAGGUUUUCGGAUCGUAAAACUCUGUUGUCAGGGAAGAACAAGUACCGGAGUAACUGCCGGUACCUUGACGGUACCUGACCAGAAAGCCACGGCUAACUACGUG